GCUACCAUGCAAGUCGAGCGGUAGAGAGAAGCUUGCUUCUCUUGAGAGCGGCGGACGGGUGAGUAAUGCCUAGGAAUCUGCCUGGUAGUGGGGGAUAACGCUCGGAAACGGACGCUAAUACCGCAUACGUCCUACGGGAGAAAGCAGGGGACCUUCGGGCCUUGCGCUAUCAGAUGAGCCUAGGUCGGAUUAGCUAGUUGGUGAGGUAAUGGCUCACCAAGGCGACGAUCCGUAACUGGUCUGAGAGGAUGAUCAGUCACACUGGAACUGAGACACGGUCCAGACUCCUACGGGAGGCAGCAGUGGGGAAUAUUGGACAAUGGGCGAAAGCCUGAUCCAGCCAUGCCGCGUGUGUGAAGAAGGUCUUCGGAUUGUAAAGCACUUUAAGUUGGGAGGAAGGGCAUUAACCUAAUACGUUAGUGUUUUGACGUUACCGACAGAAUAAGCACCGGCUAACUCUGUGCCAGCAGCCGCGGUAAUACAGAGGGUGCAAGCGUUAAUCGGAAUUACUGGGCGUAAAGCGCGCGUAGGUGGUUCGUUAAGUUGGAUGUGAAAGCCCCGGGCUCAACCUGGGAACUGCAUUCAAAACUGACGAGCUAGAGUAUGGUAGAGGGUGGUGGAAUUUCCUGUGUAGCGGUGAAAUGCGUAGAUAUAGGAAGGAACACCAGUGGCGAAGGCGACCACCUGGACUGAUACUGACACUGAGGUGCGAAAGCGUGGGGAGCAAACAGGAUUAGAUACCCUGGUAGUCCACGCCGUAAACGAUGUCAACUAGCCGUUGGGAGCCUUGAGCUCUUAGUGGCGCAGCUAACGCAUUAAGUUGACCGCCUGGGGAGUACGGCCGCAAGGUUAAAACUCAAAUGAAUUGACGGGGGCCCGCACAAGCGGUGGAGCAUGUGGUUUAAUUC
rnacentral:rRNA from 1 species